CCUACGGGAGGCAGCAGUGAGGAAUAUUGGUCAAUGGGCGCGAGCCUGAACCAGCCAAGUAGCGUGAAGGAUGACUGCCCUACGGGUUGUAAACUUCUUUUAUAAAGGAAUAAAGUGAGGCACGUGUGCCUUUUUGUAUGUACUUUAUGAAUAAGGAUCGGCUAACUCCGUGCCAGCAGCCGCGGUAAUACGGAGGAUCCGAGCGUUAUCCGGAUUUAGUGGGUUUAAAGGGAGCGUAGAUGGGUUGUUAAGUCAGUUGUGAAAGUUUGCGGCUCAACCGUAAAAUUGCAAUUGAUACUGGCAGUCUUGAGUACAUUUGAGGUCGGCGGAAUUCGUGGUGUAGUGGUGAACUGCUUCGAUCUCACGAAGAACUCCGAUUGCGACGGCAGCUUACUAAACUGCCACUGACAUUGAUGCUCGAAAGUGUGGGUAUCAAACAGGAUUAGAUACCCGAGUAGUC
rnacentral:rRNA from 1 species